rfam:Oryza glumipatula chromosome 1, whole genome shotgun sequence.
GUUAAGUGCAAUCAUAAGUUUUCGUGCCCAACUUUAAUCGUUUGUCUUAUUUAAAAUUUUUUUAUAAUUAGUAUUUUUAUUGUUAUGAGAUGAUAAAAUAUGAAUAAUACUUCUUUAUAUAUGACUUAUGUUUUUAAAAUUUUUUUUAAAAAAAUUUUAUAUAAGAAGAACGGUUAAAAUUAUAUCAUUGUUGCGCUUAAA